CAGCCGCCGCGGGAAUACGUAGGUGGCGAGCGUUGUCCGGAAUUAUUGGGCGUAAAGGGAGCGCAGGCGGACAUAUAAGUCCAUCUUAAAAGUGCGGGGCUCAACCCCGUGAGGGGAUGGAAACUGUAUGCCUUGAGUGCAGGAGAGGAAAGCGGAAUUCCCAGUGUAGCGGUGAAAUGCGUAGAUGUUGGGAGGAACACCAGUGGCGAAGGCGGCUUUCUGGACUGUAACUGACGCUGAGGCUCGAAAGCCAGGGGAGCGAACGGGAUUAGAGACCCCAGUAGUCCCUGUCUCUUAUACA
rnacentral:rRNA from 1 species